ensembl:lncRNA
UACCACUCUGUGUAGAAAUGGGGGUACUCAGAGCUGCGUGAACUCCUUGGACAGGCCAAACAGCGUGGAGGUCACUUCUACUGGUAGCUGUGCAAUUCAGGAAUGAAGUCUGUUGCUCAGCUCGGACGCCUGACAGCAUUUUGUGUGCUCCAGCAGCUUUACUCUGAGCAAUGUAUUGCUGUCAGGCAGACUGGGGUUUCUUUACCACUACCUCAGCAGGAACAAGACUAGAAAUGCGGUCCGUAAGUGCACUGCAACUGAACAAAACAUGGUCUGGUUUGGCUGUAAGAAUAGUGUAUUUGAGGGAUUUUUGGUGGAUGUGGGCUAACAGGACAACUUCUGUUGGUGACUGGUUUCUGCGAAGGAGAAAAAUUACACUUGGUUUUAGGGAAUCAGCCCGGGAUUAGAGCGACUCUUACUGAGAAAAGGGAAACUUCUGUGGGUAAGAGCGAUGGAAAUAUCUCUUGUUGUAAUAAGAGAUGGAAAAAAGCAGGGGAGUUACCUCGUAGGAUAAAGAGCUCAGGGAGCUUGAGACAGUGUCUCAGAAAAGGCGUGCCUUUGCUUAGCAUUGCUCUGUGUCUGAGUUUUCCUUGCUAUUGGUGCAUGAAGCCCUCAGAUGGGAAACCCAGCCUCCCCCUCCAAGUGAGGACAUUGCCCUAGCAGCCCCUGGGGCUUGGCCUGAAAAGAAGGAAAAAAAACCCAACAAACAACCAAAGCAGUGCAAUGCAAAGCAACAGAGAAAGAAGCAUAAAAGAAAGAAAAGAUGUUAAAUAGCAAAAGGAAAAGCAAAGAAAAACCACACGACAUGGAAAGAACAAAGACAAAGACAACUCUCAGGAUGGAAUCAAAGAAUGCCCUCAGGCAUCUGUCCCCUCCCCUGAACCUUCCUCCGUCCCAAGAGUUUCUGCCCGGUGGGACCACGUGCAGGACAGCAGGCUUUGGCUUGAUGGGCUGCAAGGCCAAAAAAGGGCAGCUCCAGGCCCCCCAGAGGAUGUCACAGCUGACAUCACCCACGCUCCUGGAACCUUUGUGCUGUUACAAUCAGUUUCCAUGACGAUGACGGGCCGUCCACAAGGACAGCUGGCAGAUGUUUACAGGCACCUCAGCUGGGAGAUGCACUGCCCGCAGCCGCUCGCCGUGCCCUGGGGCUGAGAGCAGCCCUGGCAGAAGACAAGCUCGGCCUCAUCCCCUGCUGGAUUACGGUUAAGUGCUACUAUUUAGUCUUACUACUAACUGCGGAC